ACCGGACGAAGCCGCCGCUCCAGGUCCCGUCCAGCCCCAUGUCACUGUGGGCGCGGGGCAGGUUGUUGUGUUUGUUGGGGGGGCGGCGACCAACCAACCUGCCCCACGAACUGCACCUGCAACAAGAAUGCUCAGAAAACUGAAGACUCCAACAGAAGAGACUGACCCAGGUUUAAGAGACAAACCUGUAUAUUAAGGACUUUAAGUGCCAAUGGGGACAAGCUGCUUCAAGAAGCAGUCAUUUAUGGUGUCUAGAAGUUUUAUCACUGCAGCAUUUUCUGAGGUAACAUAUACCUGUUUAAU